UGGGGAAUAUUGCACAAUGGGCGCAAGCCUGAUGCAGCCAUGCCGCGUGUGUGAAGAAGGCCUUCGGGUUGUAAAGCACUUUCAGCGAGGAGGAAGGUGGUGAGCUUAAUACGCUCAUCAAUUGACGUUACUCGCGGAAGAAGCACCGGCUAACUCCGUGCCAGCAGCCGCGGUAAUACGGAGGGUGCAAGCGUUAAUCGGAAUUACUGGGCGUAAAGCGCACGCAGGCGGUUUGUUAAGUCAGAUGUGAAAUCCCCGGGCUCAACCUGGGAACUGCAUUUGAAACUGGCAAGCUAGAGUCUCGUAGAGGGGGGUAGAAUUCCAGGUGUAGCGGUGAAAUGCGUAGAGAUCUGGAGGAAUACCGGUGGCGAAGGCGGCCCCCUGGACGAAGACUGACGCUCAGGUGCGAAAGCGUGGGGCAGCAAACAGGAUUAGAUACCCUGGUAGUCCACGCUGUAAACGAUGUCGAUUUGGAGGUUGUGCCCUUGAGGCGUGGCUUCCGGAGCUAACGCGUUAAAUCGACCGCCUGGGGAGUACGGCC
rnacentral:rRNA from 1 species